rnacentral:rRNA from 1 species
UUCCUACGGGGCGCAGCAGUAGGGAAUAUUGCUCAAUGGGGGAAACCCUGAUGCAGCGACGCCGCGUGGGUGAAGAAGCGCCUCGGCGCGUAAAGCCCUGUCAGCAGGGAAGAAAAUGACGGUACCUGAAGAAGAAGCCCCGGCUAACUACGUGCCAGCAGCCGCGGUAAUACGUAGGGGGCAAGCGUUAUCCGGAUUUACUGGGUGUAAAGGGGGCGCAGACGGCGAUGCAAGCCAGGAGUGAAAGCCCGGGGCCCAACCCCGGGACUGCUCUUGGAACUGUGUGGCUAGAGUGCAG